GACUAAGAAAAUCUUGGUCAACCAACAGCCUAUCGACCAAACAAUCGACCAGUGGACUAAAUGGGGUUAGCCCUAAUUUACUGGGACAUCUACUCAAUGUGAACUAGGGAUGUGCACGAUUAUUUGAAUAUCAGAACGGACAUUAGUAUUUUAAUACUUGUGACAUCAACACUGGAGGUAUUGUUGCAGGGGUGAUCGUGGCUCUCCUAGCCCUGGCCCUGCUGGGCUUCGGACUGUGGUACGCCGGCUGCAAAGGAUACCUGCCUAAAAAGAGUGAAAGCAAACCCAAACCCUCAGUGGUCUACCAGCCAACAUCUGAGUAUGGCGAUGAAGAGGAUGGGGAAUUCAAACAGAAGUCUUCUUUCGUGGUAUAGCCAGGGCAUGCACCACAUAUCCAGGAUAUACCUAGGAGUCUACGGCAACAACAGUGAAUGUGGGUGCGUCCCAAUAACAUCUCCCCUUUCUCCUGAAGUGUGUUCUUGUUCACUACUUCCCACAAAUAUCAAAGCAUAGUGGUUGCGGCAUGGGCUAGUGGGAGUUUCCACAUUAUUCCUUAUACCAGCCAUUUCCUUUCAAAUAAGUGAAGGAAAGUGCACACUUUGGGAGGAAGGAGAGAUAAUUGGAUAUAUGCUAAUACCACUGCCCCUUUUACCUGCUCGGUAUGGAUUGGUGUGGUUUGAUUUUAAUGUUAUCUUUUUUAAUUCCAUCUGUUUAUUAAAACUAUUUCAAUUUUUGAA